UCUCCCGGUGGCCCGGAGCCAGCGGUGGCACCGCUGCGGAGAACACCCCGGGCUCCCCGCCCCGCCCCUCCGAUGGAGCUGGUCCCGCUCGCCGGGUGACCCCGCUUCUCCAAACUACGUCUGGGUUUACUCUUUUUUUUUCCGUUUUUUUUUCGGUCAGGAGGGACUGGCGGGAGGUGCUGCGGGGUAGUCCCGAGCACCAGAGCGCUCUGAGGCCCCGGGGAGGAGAGGGGACACUGGAGUGCCUAUUUAGCUUCUCCUGAAUGAUUUACAUGACUACAAAUUUUCAUUUGCUGCUGCAGGUGGACAGUGUUGAUGCUCCUUCUGGUGCUCCCAUGAGUCCAUCUACUCAAACCACAGGCAAAUGCUGUGCUUCUACUGAAGUUUAUUUCAGUUCAUAAUAACGUCAAAAUAAAAUACUGACGACUGUCUGAUGAGUCUAGAGGAAGCCUUAGACUUGGUUACAUAAAUUGAAUUGAGCUUGCCAAGGUGACCUUCAAAAACUUCUUGGACGUAUGAGGAGUGACAUGUGAUGACCUCAAACCACAAGUAAUUCUAAUACAACUUUACUCACAGAAAAACCUUUUGGGAAGGUACCAGGACUUUAACUGAGCUUAAUGCAAGACUACAGACAUUGAGGACAUUGUAAAACAUGCAAACUGUUUGGAAUUCAAGGACAGAAGUUUUCCCCACAGUUCUCAUUCAGCUGUGUGUCCUGAAUUCACACCCGAGGUCCCCCCUGCAGAGCAGCACGAGGCCAGCUGUGCCUUCAGCUGGGAUUUUUGCUUUUGCUUUCUGAAGUACCAAUACCAGAGCCUUCCUGCUCAGCCCUUGGCAGUUCCUCCUUUCAAGGCCAUUUCUGCUCUUCCUCUGAUGUUUCUGCCAGCACCAGGAGUUUGAGUAAGCCCAUCUGGAAGCCAGCUUUGCAGACCACUCCCAGAGCAGCAAGCAAUACUGCAUAUUUAUACCACGGAAAGAAGCAAACAGGUGACACCCACUUCUGCAGAACACCUCUGGAGCUCUCUAAGCAUUUCCUCUGAGUAUUCUUUGUAAGUGAAAUGAGUCAGCGAAGUGGGAGAGCAUUGCUCUGUGUUCAUAGCCUGCAGGCUCCCCUCAGCAGGGGCCUGUGGUGAGUGACAGGAACUGGUUAAGUUUGCGUGAUGGUGAGAGCAAUGAAAUAAUUUCUCAUGCUAAGGCUGGCUGUACAAGCUGAGGUUUCCACCCUCUCUGAGGAGAUGAUGUUUUUCUCUGCCACACACCGGGUGCAGCUGUCAGCUCCUGGCAGCUGCAGGAAGGCUCUUGCCGUAAUCCUCUGCAGAUUCCACUAAACAUAAGCUAACAUGCAAUGUAUAGCAUCUGUAUUAGGUUCUCAAGUAGGAUUUGCCAUGAAAGUUAUGUUAAUUCAUCUUAUCUUAGCAUGACUCACAUGCAGUUUGGGUUGGAUGACUCUAUGGGAGAGGCCAGACUCUUCUAGUUGUUGUAAGCAGUGAGAUUAGAAUGUCUGCUGCUCACAUUCACCUGCCUUUUUCAAGUCACUUCUAAAAUGCCACUUAUUCAGAGCUCCCUGCUAACUAAAACUUUGGCAGCUUGAAUCUGGAGUUUUCCUGUUUCAGCAGAUGACUUUGCUGGCUCCAGGUCUUUUGAAAUUCCUGGACAAACACCAUUUAGGAUCCAUACUGCCAGACUGAUCAGACCCAAAGCAUAAAUUAUAAGCAGCAGAAGCUCAGGUUAGGGAUGUAAAUAUGACUGACUUCCAACCCAUUUAUUCCAACUCUGUUAAUUUCAAAUAAUUAAUUAAAUUCAGUGAUGAUGUGAUAGGUAGUCUGAAAAAAAAACCUUGAAGGAUGAAGAUGGUUUUCCAGACUUCAGUCAGCAUGUCCACAUUGCAUCUUUUAUGCAGUACAAAACAAACACCAGGAACAACUGAAUUUUAUAUUCUUGUGUUUGUUUCAUAUAGUUCUGUGUGCAGUAGAAGAAAAUAAAUCUAAACUAGGAUGGAUCUUCUAAAGUUGAAACCUGAUACUUGUCUGUGCUAAAAGUUGCCGUUCAGUGAAUUAUAGAAAUAUAGAAAUAUGAGGGAAAGGAAGACAGUCAGUCUCAGACUCCUCCAUUACAGAGUAAUGCAUUAGUACAAAGUACAAAUCUUAAAAACAACCCCAAAACCCUAAAACUUUGUUUGAAACACAGUUAGUGACUUCUCAGUGCUAGGAAAGUGAAACCGAAAUAAAAUUGAAGAACCUUUUCUGUACACUUUGACCCUUGGACUGGGGUGGAGAUAUUUUUUAAAACUCCUUUGGGUAGGAUGAAAGGCUGUAAUAGAUCAGAACUUCUGGCCAAGGGAAAGGAGGAUUUUUGUGCUUGUGUAAUAUCAGCCUUUUACCAAAAUUAGAGAAGGGAGCAGAGAAUUUCUUCCAUUUUAAGUAGUACUGUCAGUAAAAGCACCGAAAGGUCUGAGCUGGACAGAAAAUUUCUAAUUGCAGCUCCUUUGGAAAUCGCUUUUCACGGAGAUCUGGGGUCAAAUUCUUUUCUAAGGUCUCUUGGCACCAUACCAACAAAACAGUGCCAGUGUAAUUGAGGGAGCCCUGGCUCCUGCUAUGCUCCAGACUGUUAUCCAGGUGUAGUUUGACCUUUGUAUUUUACCCAUACUGUGACCAUCUCACGUGCACGUCAGUGUGAGGAAUAAUGUCCUUGAAGAUUGCUUUGAAGAGAGGCACCCAUUGUAGUAGCAGGCAGAAGAAGAUUGAUUCCUUUCUUUUAAUCUGUGCAAACCAAAACUCUGUCUCACCCAGGGUGCUCUCAGGAAAUCCGCUCAUGUUUAACCCACUGUAAUUUACAGCCUGUCAGGCACCAACUCAUUGCCUUUUCCAACUGUGUGUUGAGCUUUCUCUGCUCCCCUUAAAUCAGAGGAUUAUCACUGUGGGGUCACCUCCAGAAACCAGUCUGUUGAGGCAUCAGACUUUCCUUGCAGCUUCAGAACGUGUCUCUGUGCUUGGCUGAGACAGUUCUUUGGUAAGAGCUUUGCAGAUAAUUCAGUGCAACUUUGCAUUUUACUGAAAGACAAGGAUUUUCUGGUUUGGGAAAACAAAUCCAUUUCUUGAUGCAUAUUGCCAGCACUUCUGCCCUUCUUAUAACACAGUUUCUAGAAGGCAAAUCCUUUAAAAGGGACCUUUUAGUCUCCCCUGAAGAUUACACUCUUGUAGGGGUCUUGCCUUCAUCUGUAGAUUUAAUGGCCUAAUAAGCAUUAGACCCUCCUGUUAUGUAGUAACAAAUAGGAAUACAAUACUUUUAUCAAUAUUUGGCACAAUUAAUUUUUUUUUAUGUGAAACUAAAUAUUGAUGCUGUCAAGUGACUGCAGCUCAGGGACAUAAAUUACAAAUAUUCUUUUCCUAUGAGCCUUGCUCAAAUUUUGCAUUCAUAUACAGUAACCAUCUAAUGUCUUUCUAUUCCUGUAAGCCAUAUGAUUUGAUUGCCAGAUUACAUGGUUCUGUAUUGUG